rnacentral:rRNA from 1 species
CGGCCCGGCCAUAGCGGCUGGGCAACACCCGGACUCAUAUCGAACCCGGAAGUUAAGCCAGCCGCGUUGGGGUUCCCAGUGGGGUCCGAGAGGCCCCGCAGGGGCCCCAAGCCGGGACCG